CACGUAGGGCGCAAGCGUUGUCCGGAAUUAUUGGGCGUAAAGAGCGUGUAGGCGGCCAGGUAGGUCUGCUGUGAAAACUCGAGGCUCAACCUCGAGACGUCGGCGGAAACCAUCUGGCUAGAGUCCGGAAGAGGAGUGUGGAAUUCCUGGUGUAGCGGUGAAAUGCGCAGAUAUCAGGAGGAACACCAAUGGCGAAGGCAGCACUCUGGGACGUGACUGACGCUGAGACGCGAAAGCGUGGGGAGCAAACAGG
rnacentral:rRNA from 1 species